rnacentral:rRNA from 1 species
GGUUCGAUCAUGGCUCAGGUUGAACGCUGGCCCGGGAUGCUUUACACAUGCAAGUCGAACGGCAGCACGGACUUCGGUCUGGUGGCGAGUGGCGAACAGGGUGAAUAAUGUAUCGGAGCGAUAUACCUAAUGGCAGGGGGAUAACUACGCGAAAGCGUAGCUAAUACCACAUACGCCCUUCGGGGGAAAGCGGGGGGACCUUCGGGCCUCGCACUAUUAGAGCGGCCGAUAUCAGUUAGCUAGUUGGUGGGAGUAACGGCUCACCAAGGCGACGAUCCGUAGCUGGUUUGAAGGACGACCAACCACACUGGGACUGAGAUACAGCCCAGACUCCUGCAGAGGAGGCAGCAGUGGGGAAUUUUGGACAAUGGGGAAACCCUGAUCCAGCCAUCCGCGUGUGCGAUGAAGGCCUUCCGGGUUAAAAGCCUUGCGGGGAAAAACGGCUGGGAUAAUACCCCGUGCAACUGACGGUACCUGCGAAUAACCUCAGCUAACUACGUGCCAGCAGCCGCGGUAAUACGUAGGGUGCAAGCGUUAAUCGGAAUUACUGGGCGUAAAGCGUGCGCAGGCGGUUCGGAAAGAAAGAUGUGAAAUCCCAGAGCUUAACUUUGGAACUGCAUUUUUAACUACCGAGCUAGAGUGUGUCAGAGGAGUGGAAUUCCGCGUGUAGCAGUGAAAUGCGUGAAUAUGCAGAGAGGAACACCGGCCGAAGAGCAGCCUCCUGGGAUAACACUGACGGCAUGCACGAAAGCGUGGGGAGCAAACAGGAUUAGAUACCCUGGUAGUCCACGCCCUAAACGACCUCAUCCCAACUAGCUGUUUGGGGCCUUCCAAGGCCUUAGUAGCCGCAAUAACACCGUGAAUUGACCGCCUGGGGAAGUCUGAUCCUGGUCAAACUCAAGGAAUUGACGGGGACCCGCACAAGCGGUGGAUGAUGUGAUUAAUUCGAUGCAACGCGAAAAACGCCACUACCCUUGACAUCUGGAAUCCCGAAGAGAUUUGGGAGUGCUGCAGAAACCGGAACACAGGUGCUGCAUGGCUGUCGUCAGCUCGUGUCGUGAGAUGUUGGGUUAAGUCCACGCAGCGAGCGCAACCCUUGUCAUUAGUUGCUACGAAGGGCACUCUAAUGAGACUGCCGAAGUGACAGCGAAGCCGGAGGAAGGUGGGGAUGACGUCAAGUCCUCAUGGCCCUUAUCGGGUAGGGCUUCACACGUCAUACAAUGGUCGCGGGACAGAGGGUCGCCAACCCGCGAGGGCCAAACCCAGAAACCCGAUCGUAGUCCGGAUCGCAGUCUGCAACUCGACUGCGUGAAGUCGGAAUCGCUAGUAAUGCGGAUCAGCAUGUCGCGGUGAAUACGUUCCCGGGUCUUGUACACACCGCCGUCACUGUAAGUGCGGUUUACCGAAGUAGUUAGCCUAGCCGUAAGGAGGCGAUUACCACAGUAGGAUUU